GUUUGUUCACCAAUCACAACACUCAUAAUGAGCCACAUAAUCUCAAUGUGAGUCAUACAUCAAUGUAAUUUAAAUCUUGUGUCUUUCAAUCCUCGAUCGGGCAGAAACAUUGAAGCGGAAAACUCCAGUGAAACUCAGAAGACCUAUUCUGUUCAAGAAGAAGGUAUCGUUCAAAACCCCCGUCGUGCGAGAAGUGAAACGCAUCUCAGUGGCCAGAACAACCUUUCCAAAUACCAGUGAGUCAGCUCGAAGGCCCAGCAAGGGCGAGCAGGUGAAGCCCCACGCAGAGGCGCCCGGAGUGGGUGAGAUGAACUCUGAAGACGACACGCCACAGCUGAGGGUGACGCUGAAAAGGCCUGUGAAGAGGAUCCCGGAGAAAGCCAGGUUCUUUGACUUUGUCAGUGUCGGUGACAGGGAUCUGUUCUUUCAGAGGGCGAGAGAGAGGUGUGUCAAACUCAGGAGUAUUGCUUUGUUCUCCUCUCACGGCUGCUAAGAACAUAGAGACUGGUGUCCUGUGACAUUUGAAGCAAAGAUACUCUAUGAAAAAACAUCACCUUUCUCCCAUAAGGAGGCCUGUGAGUGAAGUUUCCUCUGGAAGAAUGAGCUUCAAAACAACGUAUAUGAGACUUAAUGUAUAAAAUGUAAUUAUAAAAUAUGUAUUAUUCAAAUGUGUUAUUUAAAGAGCUGCCUUUAACUUUGUGUCUGCGCACCAUACAAACUGUGCUCCCAUGUGCCUCUCUGUUUAGGGCCAAGAAUGAAUAUAUAACCAGAUAUUUUAUUUAUAUCUGUUAAUGAAAAUGCACUUUUUUUCACACAACCACUUUAACUAUGUGGAGCCAUGUGACCACUAGAUGUCAGACCUGUAUCCUGUUAAAUAACCAUCUUUCUUUAUUGUCCUGACAGUUUUUGUUUUAUACAUGUGUUGUGAAAAUAUAUACGUUGUUUGCAAAUAUUUAAAUGUAUCUUCAUGUAUUCUUUCGACUGUGUGCGAACGAGGCUUCUAUUGAACGGUUAAUUUAAGGUGAAUAAAGUUCAAAUGUGAGUUUAUUUAAGGUUA